CUCUGUUUCCAAGGGAUUCAGGGCAAAAAGGAG
ncrna:Terribacillus goriensis L31-Firmicutes ribosomal protein leader